rnacentral:lncRNA from 12 species
AUGGUUCCAUUCGGUGACAAGAAUAAGCCUGCUGAUGGUAGGUGGAAGUUCACUUUAAAUAAAGAGCCUCCUCCAGGUAUGCCUUUAGUCAUGCUUCUGCCAGUUUCCUCUACACAGUUCUCAACUACCUCAGUUCCUACCAAGAGCUCCCAAAACUUUCUACCAUCCUCUUUGGUCUUAGAAACAUCUGCUCCACGUGUCGUUUCCAUGCCGGUGAUCCCGUCUGGCAAAGAGGUAGAGAAAGACACUGUAGAGCCCAGCAGAACCAACAUUCCUUCAAACACACUCAUUCCUGUGCAAAGUCAUGACAGUAUCUCUCAGAAGAGGUGGACCGUUUUAGAAGACCAGGGUUCUGUUCAAGGGUUUGCUACAGAAAAUGUAAAGGCAGGGGAACAGGCUGCAGGUGUGGCAGUAGCAAAUCAGGGAAUGAACGUUACUGCUCAAGUAGAAGUAGAGAAUAAGCAGGAAACUCAAUCAAAUUUGAAGCCUAAUGCACUGGUUGAUGAAAAAACAGUUCCAGGGAGUUCAUCAGAAAAUGCAUCUCUCAGUCCCACCUGCCCCAUGAAACCAUUAUGUCUAAUAAAGUUCACGGAGGAGAAGAAUGGUGGUGGUGACAACAUCAAGAAAAGCUCUUCAGAUUUGAAGGAACUUGACUCCUCGCCUGUAAUGGCAGGAGUAGAAGUUUUAAAGAGAAAACCGGAAAAGCAAAUGCUGGAUUCUUCACAAACAGGCUCUCAUGAUUUAGUUUCUUGUUCUUCAGAAAUGACUUACCAGAAAAAGGCCAGUGAAGAUGAAAGAUUAUUCAAAGAAGAUGUGUCAUCUGACAGGAUGUGUGCAGAGUCACAAAUUGAAUAUACUGUGACGGGGGACAAAUCAGAAAACUGUCCGCAGGGGCAAAACGAAUCUGGUUUUGAUGUAGAGGUUGAAGUUAAUGAAGAUGUGGAAUCGAGCAGCAUGGAAGUGGAGAUUGGGGAUGAAGACAGCGGAGUGGAUAUGUUGGAAGGUGAGCUCCAUGAAUGUGUGACCUGUGGACAAGUCCUUCCUGAAAAGGGUAUGGUCCAGCACUACAUGAAGCAUGCAGCCGACACCGACAGUCCUGAGAACUGUGCCUCUCACACUACAGAACGAUCCCCUACAUGUAGUCCAUCAAGAAAAAGACUACGAUCUGGCACAGAGUUGUGA